GUGGGAACAAACUUUCCUAAAGGAAGUGGUGUAUUGUUCAUCUCUUGAUGUCCUCAAAUCACGACUGGAUGCUUUUCUGGAAGACAUGCUUUAGUUAUUAAA